CGCCUCUUGAAUAAGUAUAAGAGGUCCCGCCUGCCCAGUGACCCCAGUUCAACGGCCGCGGUAUCCUAACCGCGCGAAGGUAGCGUAAUCACUUGUUCUUUAAAUUAGGACUAGUAUGAACGGCGCCACGAGGGUUAUACUGUCUCCUUUUUCUAAUCAGUGAAACUAAUCUCCCCGUGAAGAAGCGGGGAUACAACUAUAAGACGAGAAGACCCUAUGGAGCUUAAAAUUUUAUUUCAACUGCCGCACCCAUAAAAGUUCCGACUACCCAUAAUUUACUUAGCAUUCUGAUUAUAAAUUUUUAGGUUGGGGCGACCAUGGAGAAUAAAAAAACCUCCACAUUGAAUAUAGGCCUCUUAGCCUUGAGCCAAGAGCUACGACUCGAUGUACUAAAACAUUAACAUCCAUUGACCCAAUUAUUUGAUCAACGAACCAAGUUACCCUAGGGAUAACAGCGCAAUCCACUUUAAGAGCCCCUAUCGACAAGUGGGUUUACGACCUCGAUGUUGGAUCAGGGUAUCCCAGUGGU
rnacentral:rRNA from 1 species